rnacentral:rRNA from 1 species
AGAUUGAACGCUAGCGGCAUGCCUAACACAUGCAAGUCGAACGAGAUCCAUCUGGUGGUAACACCAGAGAAGAUCUAGUGGCGAACGGGUGCGGAACACGUGAGCAACCUGCCCCGAAGAUCGGGAUAACGGCGGGAAACUGCCGCUAAUACCGAAUGCCCCCACGAGCCCGCAUGGGUUUGUGAGGAAAGGAUUCUGCUUCGGGAGGGGCUCGCGGCCUAUCAGCUUGUUGUGGGGUAACGGCCUACCAAGGCGACGACGGGUAGCUGGUCUGAGAGGACGAUCAGCCACACUGGGACUGAGACACGGCCCAGACUCCUACGGGAGGCAGC